rnacentral:rRNA from 1 species
GCAUUAGAGUUUGAUCAUGGCUCAGAUUGAACGCUGGCGGCAGGCCUAACACAUGCAAGUCGGACGGUAGCACAGAGGAGCUUGCUCCUCGGGUGACGAGUGGCGGACGGGUGAGUAAUGUCUGGGGAUCUGCCCGAUAGAGGGGGAUAACCACUGGAAACGGUGGCUAAUACCGCAUAACGUCGCAAGACCAAAGAGGGGGACCUUCGGGCCUCUCACUAUCAGAUGAACCCAGAUGGGAUUAGCUAGUAGGCGGGGUAACGGCCCACCUAGGCGACGAUCCCUAGCUGGUCUGAGAGGAUGACCAGCCACACUGGAACUGAGACACGGUCCAGACUCCUACGGGAGGCAGCAGUGGGGAAUAUUGCACAAUGGGCGCAAGCCUGAUGCAGCCAUGCCGCGUGUAUGAAGAAGGCCUUCGGGUUGUAAAGUACUUUCAGCGGGGAGGAAGGCAGUGAGGUUAAUAACCUUACUGAUUGACGU